CAGAUCUUCACCUCCACCAUGCUGUCCAGUACCUGAGAGCCCCUAGACUAAGGUCAAGACAUUGAGGUCCAGGAUGUUGUUUUAGGGUGUUUUGGGCAGAUGCUGGUGCCCUUGGACACACAAACACAACACACAGUCGUUGUUUGUCCAGUGUCGGUCGGGAGGUGAACUUGAGAGAGCAUCUCUGUUUUUGGACUUCCUUUGUCUUGUGGCCUUUGACCUGACACACACACACAGAGACACACACGUGGUGUCCAGCACUCACUUGGUUCCUGUGGAAUGUCGGGACUGUGAGGGGGGGGGGGGGGGUAU